CUUUAAAUUAAAUACUAAAUAUAUAAGUAACUCAAAAAUCUUAAUUGGUUAAUUCAACUAACUUAUCGCAGUUACCCUUUCUAAGAAAAAAACUAACUUAUCUCAGUUGCAUGUUAGAGUGAUAAAAGAACAGAACAAAACCGUUAAUUUUAGAUAUUUUUCAUUUUACAUCAUCAAAUAAUGUAAAACUCGUCUCAUUUCUAUAUAAAUAAUUUAUGAAACUCAUCAUCAAAUAUAGUGCACAAAAAAAAAAAAAAAAAACUCAUCAUCAAAUAUACGAAACCAAAUUUCCC
rnacentral:lncRNA from 1 species